rnacentral:tRNA from 3 species
GUACGGGUUGAGCAGGUGGUGUGCUCCGCUGACUGUAAAUCAGCCGCUUCGGCAUUGGGGGUUCGAUUCCCUUCCCGUGCAC